AAAGUGGAAGAGGAAAGAGUUACCCCAGCGAGAACCGGGAACCGGGCUGCAGACUCUCCGGCCCGGGGGAGGGAUGAGUUUCACUCUGGUUGCCCAGGCUGGAGUGCAAUGGCGCGAUCUCGGCUCACCGCAACCUCUGCCUCCCGGAUUCAAGCGAUUCUCCUGCUUCAGCCUCCCGAGUAGCUGGGAUUACAGAUAUGCUCUAACUUAUUUAUCCCCAAAGGACGUGCAUUUGGGUCAUUUUCAAUCUUCUGCUAUGGUAAGUAACACUUCAGCAAAUAAAUCUUUGCUCAUCACUGUCUCUCUUAUAUAAACUCCUGGGCAUGGAAUUUCAGGUCAAAGAAUGUGCUUGCUCUGAAAUGUAAUGGAUUUUGCCAAAUUGCUAUUCACAGAAGAUAUACCCACUUACACUGCCCCAAAGCCUACAUUUUUCUCACUUUAGUUUGGUCACAUUGUCCUGGUUGGAUACUUUCUGUCUCCCGUAUCUCAUAGUUGGAGAUAUCCUAACCAUGGCCUCCUGGGGACACUGUGCAGUUUCCUUUCUGCUCAUCCUGCUGCCUCCCCCCCUAAUCCAAACAACCCCUCAUAUCUGUGUAUGUCAGAGGGCUGUCCACACAGCAUCUCAUUUGAUCCUAUCUUGUGGGGUAGGAAGGAAAACCGUAUCAGCACAGUCUGGGGUAUGAGGACCAGAGGUGAAACAACUGGCCCAGGGUCCUAGGAUGGAAGGAGAGCCUCCUUGCUGAGCACUUUCCCACCAUACACCAUUGUCCAAAGAUGGCCUCCUAAGUCUGGGAAGGGUAGUACCAAGGAGGUAUAUCAGUUGGAAGUGAUGCCACUAACACACUAACACUUACUGAAAACACUGAUGUGGGCCAGAGACUGGGGAUAUAGAGGUGGACAAAACCUCCUCCCUGCCUCCAGGGAGCAUGCAGAGAUGGGAGUGCAAUGUGGGGUAGUUCCUAGGCAGCAUGGGGAGCCAUCUAUAUAAGCUGAGAUUGGAAGGGUGAAUGAGGGUUGGCCAGACUAAGGAAUGGCAUUU
rnacentral:lncRNA from 1 species